rnacentral:rRNA from 1 species
AAGAGUUUGAUCCUGGCUCAGGAUUAACGCUGGCGGCGUGCCUAAUACAUGCAAGUCGAACGGAAACCUUCGGGUUUUAGUGGCGAACGGGUGAGUAACACGUAAGCAACCUACCCUAAAGACGAGGAUAACCAUUGGAAACAUUGGCUAAGACUGGAUAAGAAGAUAAACGGCAUCUUUUAUCUUUUAAAAGACCUAAUAAUAGGUAUGCUUUAGGAGGGGCUUGCGCCAUAUUAGUUAGUUGGUAGGGUAAUGGCCUACCAAGACGAUGAUGUGUAGCUGGACUGAGAGGUUGAACAGCCACAUUGGGACUGAGACACGGCCCAAACUCCUACGGGAGGCAGCAGUAGGGAAUUUUCGGCAUGGAGGAAACUCUGACCGAGCAACGCCGCGUGAAUGACGAACUACUUCGGUAUGUAAAGUUCUUUUAUCAAGGAAGAAAAACUAAUGGCGAACCAUUUGUUUGCCGGUACUUGAUGAAUAAGCCCCGGCUAAUUAUGUGCCAGCAGCCGCGGUAAGACAUAAGGGGCAAGUGUUAUCCGGAAUUAUUGGGCGUAAAGGGUGCGUACGCGGUCUAGUAAGUCAGUGAUGUAAUGGCACCGCUUAACGUUGUCCGGCUAUUGAAACUGCUAAACUUGAGUUAAAUAGAGGCGAGUGGAAUUCCAUGUGUAGCGGUAAAAUGCGUAAAUAUGUGGAGGAACACCCGAGGCGUAGGCGGCUCGCUGAGGUCAUAACUGACGCUGAGGCACGAAAGCGUGGGCCGAGCAAACAGGAUUAGAUACCCUGGUAGUCCACGACGUAAACGAUGAAGUACUAAGUGUCGGGUUAAACCGGUACUGAAGUGUAACACAUUAAGUAAUCCGCCUGAGUAGUACGUACGCAAGUAUGAAACUUAAAGGAAUUGACGGGACUCCGCACAAGCGGUGGAUCAUGUUGUUUAAUUCGAAGAUACCCGAAAAACCUUACCCAGGUCUGGACAUGUUUUUGCAAAAUGAUAGUAAUAUAGUGGAGGUUACCAGAAACACAGGUGGCGCAUGGUUGUCGUCAGUUGUCGUCUUGAGAUGUUAGGUUAAGUCCUAAAUCGAGCGAAACCCUCAUCGUUAGUUGCCAGCACGUUAUGGUGGGGACUGUAACGAGACCGGCAAUGAUAAAUUGGAGGAAGGGGAGGAUCAGGUGAAAUCAGCAUGCCCCUUAUGACCUGGGCUACAAACGUGAUACAAUGGCUGUUACAAAGGGUAGCUGAAACGCAAGUUCUUGGCCAAUCCCCAAAAACAGUCCCAGUCCGGAUUGAAGUCUGCAACUCGACUUCAUGAAGUUGGAAUCGCUAGUAAUCGCGAAUCAGCAUGUCGCGGUGAAUACGUUCUCGGGGUUUGUACACACCGCCCGUCAAACCACGAAAGUUGGCAAUACCCCAAAACGGUAGCCUAACUCGUUUAUUCGAGAGGGCGCCGUCUAAGGUAGGGUCGAUGAUUGGGGUUAAGUCGUAACAAGGUAUCCCUACCGGAAGGUGGGGAUGGAUCACCUCCUUU